rnacentral:rRNA from 1 species
UCGGGAAUUUUGGGCAAUGGGCGAAAGCCUGACCCAGCAACGCCGCGUGAAGGAUGAAGUAUUUCGGUAUGUAAACUUCGAAAGAAUAGGAAGAAUAAAUGACGGUACUAUUUAUAAGGUCCGGCUAACUACGUGCCAGCAGCCGCGGUAAUACGUAGGGACCAAGCGUUGUUCGGAUUUACUGGGCGUAAAGGGCGCGUAGGCGGCAAUUCAAGUCAUCUGUGAAAUCUCCGGGCUUAACCCAGAACGGCCAAGUGAUACUGUCGCGCUAGAGUGCAGAAGGGGCAAUCGGAAUUCUUGGUGUAGCGGUGAAAUGCGUAGAUAUCAAGAGGAACACCUGAGGUGAAGACGGGUUGCUGGGCUGACACUGACGCUGAGGCGCGAAAGCCAGGGGAGCAAACGGGAUUAGAUACCCACGUAGUCCCUGAG